UGAGGAAUUUUGCGCAAUGGGCGAAAGCCUGACGCAGCAACGCCGCGUGAGGGAUGACGGUCUUCGGAUUGUAAACCUCUUUCAGUUGUGAUGAAAAUGACAGUAGCAACAGAAGAAGCCCCGGCUAAAUACGUGCCAGCAGCCGCGGUGAUACGUAUGGGGCAAGCGUUAAUCGGAUUUAUUGGGCGUAAAGAGCACGAAGGCGGACUAUUAAGCGAGGUGUGAAAACUGGGGGCUCAACCCGCAGCCUGCAUCUCGAACUGGUAGUCUGGAGUUUGGUAGAGGAGAUUGGAAUUCCCAGUGUAGCGGUGGAAUGCGCAGAUAUUGGGAGGAACACCAAUGGCGAAGGCAGAUCUCUGGGCCAUAACUGACGCUCUAGUGCGAAAGCGUGGGUAGCAAACA
rnacentral:rRNA from 1 species